CGGAGGGGGCGAGCGUUAUUCGGAAUUAUUGGGCGUAAAAGGCGCGUAGGCGGCGCGAUAAGUCAAAGGUGAAAUCCCUCGGCUCAACUGAGGAACUGCCUUUGAAACUGUCGUGCUUGAGGCCGGAGGGGGUAGCGGAAUUCCCAGUGUAGCGGUGAAAUGCGUAGAUAUUGGGAGGAACACCAGUGGCGAAGGCGGCUACCUGGACCGGUUCUGACGCUGAUGCGCGAAAGCGUGGGUAGCAAACAGGAUUAGAUACCCUGGUAGUCCACGCUGUAAACGAUGGGUGCUCGGUGUCGUGGGUAUCGACCCCUACGGUGCCUUAGCUAACGCGUUAAGCACCCCGCCUGGGGAGUACGGUCGCAAGGCUG
rnacentral:rRNA from 1 species